UUGAACAUGAUCUUGGGUGGGCAGCCUGGCUCUUGCACCAGGCUGUGGUCGGUCACACUGACAAAGCUGUGCGUGGCUGGCUUGAGUCAUGGUUUCAAUCCCACUUUAUUUAUCAGUUAGGCCUGUUUUUUGACCCCAAUAGCGUAAUGAUGGGGAGCUCGCCCAGAUUUAACAAGUAUGGAAUUGAGUUUGGACUAGGGAAAGGAUUGGCAGUUCGGAGCGGUUACGCACACAAGUUCGAUGGGACAGUGUCAUGUUACCCGGGACGUGAAGGAGGAGGAAGCAUAGAUUUGGAGGUGUGCCUACCGCCAAACUCGAUGAGUGCUCUUGAAUCCAACCAGGAGUUCAUGGAGGCUGUCUCUUUGUCCCCUUAGGUACUUAGUUUUCACAUAUGUAAUCUGCAUAAACUAAUGAUGUAAACUUCAUUAGUCUCUGUUUUUCUGUUUCUUCCUUGAAUAAGCACUUGUCUAUGUACGGACGUCCUUCAUAUAUUGCAAAUUCAGAUAAUAUGAUGUGAUAUCGAGGCAAAGUAAUUAUAAAGCAAAUGUUAAGUUGUUAUGUCAAGCUACCAAACAGUUCCACAUCAUAUCUGCUAAACCUAAUAUAAGACUAUAUGCCCCCUCCACGCACAACAAAGAUAGGACUUUAUAGAAGGAUGGUCAGCUUAUCUUAUGGAAGGUCAAAGCUCGACUUAUUUAAUGGUUAUUCAAUUCACUUCAUCUGUAAACAUGGACAUUUCGGACUAGAUGCCAGCCACUCUAAUAAUUGAGCAAUGAACUCCAGUUUCCAGCUGCAGAUUUCAGUACUCCAUAUUUAACUAGCAAGAAUAUUAUUGAUUGAUUUAAGCUUUCCCUCCUGCAAAAUUAGCAUACAACAGAUACGCGGUGAAGAGCUGUUAACAGCUUCAUCACACCCCAAGAGUCAAAGGCCAUGAGAACCCAAUUUUUUGGACUUUAUUUGCUAGUUCUCAUCAACCAUAGGCUAUAGCACCAUGAGGGACUUUAUUUGGAAUUUGGUAGUAGGAGCAAAAUUCAAACGGAGAAAAAAAAUAAUCAGAUUAUAGAAUGAAAUUGACUACUUACAUCAUCAACAUUGAGAGGCUCCUUGAGAUGUCACACCAUCUGCAGAGUGGUUUAACAAACAGAAUCCUAGCUUUCUCAUUUUGGUGGUCUGUGAAGUACCUAGCUCCCGUUAUAACAGUCCAGGUAACAUAUCACUAAACUCAUGCUUUUAUGUGGAAAAAACUAUUAAAUAAGUUAGUAGUACUUGCAUCCAAAAAUAUAAAGACCUGAGAUCAGACCUUGGGAGUUGUAACCUCAUUAAACUGCACAUGCGCCUAUGGGAAAGAAAAAGAGGAAAAUUAAGUUGUUCUUGAUGCCAUCAAUUAACAACAGCAAAUUGAGCAGUGGAAGUCCAUUGGAAAUGGGAGACAAACUACAUUUUGUAUGAAUAACAAUAACAGAAUAAUACAAACCAGCUAAAAGUUGAGCCCCAUCGAUUCUUCAGUGGGAUGAUCAAGGGGGUAUGAAAAAGCAACCAAAGAUCAAUCCUUCAGAAGUUCAAAAAGAUUAGGGACAGAGCAGAGUAGAAACGAAGUCAAACAGGCCUUACUAAAUCCUAGUGCAGGAAAGCUAAGCAUUCCCCUUGAAUGGUCCUAAAAUUUACAUGUCAUGCAAAAGUGAGGAGCACAGAUAACUUUCUAAAUUUAAAUCUAACAAGAAACUGAAUAUCAGCCCGCUAGCAUGGACAAAAAGUCAAUAAUCUCAGACUAAAAGAGGAGAAAAUAAUUUUUCAGGACAGUAGUUAUUUCAAGAGGCUGAGAAGUUUCCCCGAAACCUCUUUGUAUGCCCACGCACUGAUAGCUAUCCGAUUUUGUCCUAUUUAUUGCAUAUAAACUGCAUCCCCUUGACGGCUGAAAUGCCGAAACUGCAAGAAAUCAUUAAGGAAAUAAAAUAAAUACAAUAAAGGGAAAAGCUACUUCAAUGUUGAAGAAUUUCUGUGUGAGAAACCUACAGGACAUUAGCGAUAAUUACAAUGCAAUUUGGUUGUUAUAUGAGGGCCCAAGAAAGACAACCAGAGAAGCUUCAAGAAGACAUGAUGUUAGAAGCUGAUAUUCAACCAUGAAGAUCCUUUGAAAGGCCCAAGAAAGACAACCAGAAAAAGCCUCAUGAUGUUUAGCAGCUGAUAUUCAACCAUGAAGAUCCUUUGAAAGGCCCAAGAAAGACAACCAGAAAAAGCUUCAGGAUGUUAGCAGCUGAUAUUCAAUCAUGAGGAUCCUUUCAAAUCUGUGUACCCCUCAGAGCUUAGCUUCAGCCAAAUGUUCCAUGAGGGCCUUUUUGAGGAAAGGGAUCGCUCUUAAAACAUUGAAUGAAGCAUGGCCACAAGUUAGAGCCUAACUUAGAUUCUUCAAAGCAAUCUCAUAUACAUUCCAAAGCUUUUACUGAGCUUUCCUCGUUUAAAUGGUAUCACAGCCACUCCCCAGUGGGACUGUUAGCAGGCUUAAACCCUUUUCCCUCUAUAACUCCUUCCCAACUAAAGCAUUUCCAGAUUCACAUUCUUAUUAACUUCCACAAUUAUUAACUGUCUCCAUUGAUCGUCAAGAACAUGUAGCAAUCAACUGAGUAAUUCGCAACCCUUAGAGCAUCAUAUACAUUACGAGCCUAAAUCCUUGCAACUGAACCUUUCAGAAAAAUUGGUAGUUUAGCAUUGUAUUAGAACAAAGAUGAACUUGACGGCUGGACCUGAUCUUUUGUUUUCUAUAAAAUUGAAAUACUUAUGUCAUAAAAUUCAGUAAUGUACCAUCCUUAUUUAAUUUUUUUUAUUUUUUUAUUUUUCUGUUGUCAUGGUGCACCGUUGAAUUGAAUCAUGGACACCGCUGGACAAGCAUACGACGACUGUAAGAAUUUUAUCUCGAGAUUUUUUUUGACAAGUGGCUUUCGAGUUAGGGGCAACUACCAAGCGAAUUUAGAAUACGGAUACAAGUUGGCCUUUCAAUAUUGAAUUAUGCAGAUGAUGGGUGAUGCUUCCGGGGUCACGUUGGUAAAAAAAACACAAGAAAUGAGCAACCCUACGAUACUUCCUUUACUGCAAAACAAUUAAGCUUAUGUUGCGACUUGUGACUUCUUAGCAGUCAAAACACUGUUCAUAUUUUGACUUCAACCGCGGAAAAGGUCAAAAUGAUAUUUCAAGGACAAUAAUUAAAAGAAUUGACCUGCCCCUCAGCCCCUCCUUCCGCCUGUCUGGAGGUCCAUAACACAAGCACGCUGUUUACCACAUGAACAGGAAAUCAGUUGCUGCUUGGCCGUCAAUAACAGAACAAGAUUGGACCCGCCCUUGCCGGAGAACUACUUCGGGAACUCCAUUCAUACAGCCAAUGCCCAUUUCAGCUUUGGCUUCAGCUCUUGCAAAUGCAACACCUGAUCAGCAAAGAACAGUAUGCCCAUUACCCUAAUUAUUGAUGAUACCUUAGUUUGCGUUGUAUUAGUAGCCUUUUACGUAAUUUUCUUUUUCUUCUGCUCUCAUUAUUGUCGAUACCUUAGUUUGCAUUGUAUUAGGAGCCUAAUUUCUUUUAUUUUAUUUUAUUUUUUAUGGUGCUCAUGUUGUUGUUUCCGUUUUUAUUUUUAUGGUGGCUAGAUGCUGGGCGAAAGUUUGUACCCUCUCGUGGAUCAGCUGGAGCAUGAGAUGGCAGCCAAAGUGACAGGCAUGCUUCUGGAUAUGGGCCAGACUGAGUUUUUGCAUCUGCUCGAGUCGCCAGAGGCUUUGAAGUCCAAGGUUGCGGAGGCCAUGGACGUCCUGAGGAAUGUUGCUCAGCAGCAGGCUAACAGACCGAACAACUAUCCUCACUGUCCCUGAAUGAUAGCCUUGUUCCCUGAGUGUGUUGGGUGGGACUUGAAUGUGGUUCCAGCAGUUUAAAUUAAGUUUCUCUGCUAGUGAAGGCUCUAGAUUUCAUUUGAUAUGGAGUUACAUUAGCCAUAGAAUUCUGAAGUUUGAAACAUAUUGUGUGUGCUGGUUUUUGGUGAUAAAGUUUGGGAUGCUAUAUACUCUAUGUUUUGAUAUUGACAAUAGAGUGUUCUAUUGAGCAAUUUAUUAUGUGGGUAAUGUCAUGCAUGAUAUCCAUCCUCCAAAUACCUUUUAAAAGAAUGGGUCCAUCUAUGGCUGCCAGUCUUUCUUGCAGGGCAACCUUUAAGAAAGGAGAGCCAUAAUUUUUGCAAAACCGAUUCAGAAUAAUAAUGGUUAAGUUGUCUUUUCAACAUUUUGAUAUUAUUGUUAUGCAGGUUAUGCUUCUACAUCUAGUUUAAUUCAAUAAAAGGACACCGUGAAAGGUGUAAGACAAAACAAGAAAAAGAGCAUGUCUACAACACAUCCUUACUGCAAGUCUGCAAAGCAAUUAGGGCUGUGUUCUGAGCAGUCAAAACACUGGUUUAUACCUACAGGUUAUUAUUAUUACAACUUAAAUUCACAGCAUUGUUUCAUAUUUUGAUUGGAUCUAGUCUUUAUCAGCAACUGCGGGGAAAAGGGUAAAAUUACAUUACAAGGACAGUCGUUAAAAUAAUUGUCCUGCUCAUAUGCAGCUACAUCAACCAGAGCCACCCAUUAAGAAUGGAAGGGAGAAGCUGAAGAUAAGCUAUUGGCUUCCCUGAACAGAGGAACUCCUCGGUGGUCUAAUGGCAACUCCGACUGUUCGGCUCAUCUCAGAAUGCUUUAUCAAACCAAAGUUCACUUCAGAAGAGACAAAGGAGCCCUGUUACCUCACACCAUGGGACCUUGCCAUGCUCUCCGUCAAUUAUAUCCAAAAGGGCCUUCUCUUUAGCAAACCACCUCUGUGGAUUAUCCACAAAACUUCAUGGCAACUCUCUUGGACAGGCUCAAGGAUUCUCUCGCUCUCACACUCGACCAUUUCUACCCACUUGCAGGCCGCCUUGCAACAAAGAAGGAGGACAGUUCACCCUCUUACGUGGUCUUUGUAGAUUGUAACAACAGUCCCGGAGCGAAAUUCAUCCACGCAGCUGCAUACAUGACACUAUCUGACAUCGUUUCACCAAUUUAUGUACCCCAAGUUAUCCAAUCAUUCUUUGAUCAUGAUAGGGUGAUUAACCACGAUGGUCGCACCUUGUCUUUGCUAUCAAUUCAAAUCACAGAGCUUGUGGACGGCAUCUUCAUUGGAUGUUCCAUAAAUCACAGCAUGGUUUAUGGAACCUCUUUCUGGCAUUUCUUCAAUGCAUGGUCUGAGGUAUUCACUGCACAGGGGAAGAAUAGUUCCAUAACACUGUCACGCCCACCCAUCCUCAAGCGUUGGUUUCCUGAUGGCUGUGGUCCAAUUAUCAACCUUCCUUUCACUCACCAUGAUGAGUUCAUCAGCAGAUAUGAAGCACCCGUUCUCAGAGAGAGAAUUUUCCACUUCUCAUCAGAAUCAAUAGCAAAGCUCAAAGCAAAGGCAAAUGCACAGUGCAACAGCAACAAAAUCUCCUCUUUCCAGGCAUUGUCCGCACUUGUCUGGAGGUCCAUAACACGAGCGCGCUGUUUCCCACAUGAGCAGGUAACCAGUUGCAGGCUGGCCACCGGUAACAGACCAAGAUUGGACCCGCCCUUGCCGGAGAACUACUUUGGGAACUCAAUUCAAACGGUGAGAGGCAUUGCCACUGCUGGUGAACUGCUUGAACAUGAUCUUGGGUGGGCAGCCUGGCUCUUGCACCAGGCUGUGGUCGGUCACACUGACAAAGCUGUGCGUGGCUGGCUUGAGUCAUGGUUUCAAUCCCACUUUAUUUAUCAGUUAGGCCUGUUUUUUUAUGAAGAAUUUGAAGAAAAAUAUGAAGAAUUUGAAAACAAAAUAUGGAGGAACACCUCAAUUCAUUCUGUGAUACCUUCCUUUACAAUGAAUGAAAGCAUAAAUAAAUAGCCUACGGAUAUGAGACAAUUCCGGAAUGGAAUUUCCCUUACAUGGAAAGUGAAUAAACUCUUACAUGGGAAGUGAAUAAACUACUCUUACAUGGAAAGUGAAUAAACUACCUUGCUAGAAUUACUCUUAAAUAUAUAAACUACUCUUACAUGGAAAGUGAAUAAACUACCUUGCUAGAAUUACUCUUAAAUCAAUUAUAAUAAAGGCUGUACAUUACACUAAUUAGGGAAGUAAACAGAGGAUGCUGGCUUGAUUUCCAACACUCCCCCUCAAGCCGCGUUGUAGAUGUUGAUCAUUCCAAGUUUUUUUGUCAGAUCUUCGAAGUUAACUCGAGCAAGAGCUUUUGUGAGAAUGUCAGCCGUUUGACAGUUUGUCGGAGUGUAGCUGACUUUGAAAACUCCUUCUUCAAUCUUUUCCUUGAUAAAGUGUCGAUCUAUCUCCACGUGCUUAGUUCGAUCAUGAUGAACCGGAUUCUUAGCGAUACUGAUGGCAGCUUGAUUGUCGCAGUAUAACACCAUGGGAUGCUUCAAUGGAACCCGUAAUUCUUCUAACAGCCUGUUCAACCAGAUUCCCUCGCAGAUACCUUGUGCCAUAGCACGAAAUUCUGCCUCAGCACUGCUACGGGCUACCACUGACUGUUUCUUGCUUCGCCAUGUAACCAAGUUCCCCCAGACAAAUGAACAAUAGCCUGAAGUUGAUCUCCGAUCAGUCACUGAACCUGCCCAAUCUGCAUCUGAAAAAAUCUUAAUCUCUUUAUUUGUUGUUCUUUGAAAGAAGAGACCCUUUCCCGGUGUCAUCUUGAGGUAUCUCAAUAUUCUGAUCACAGCAGUCAUGUGUUUUUCGGUUGGAUUAUUCAUGAAUUGACUUACCACACUAACGGAGAAGCCGAUGUCUGGCCUUGUAUGAGAAAGAUAGAUGAGUUUCCCCACAAGACGUUGAUAUCUUCCUUUAUCAACUGGCGCACUUCCAUCACUUUCUUCCAGUUUGACAGUUGUAUCCAUAGGUGUUUCUGCCGGCUUGCAUCCUAGCAUUCCUGUUUCAUUCAAUAAGUCUAGAACGUAUUUGCGUUGUGAGACUGCUAUACCUUUCUUUGACCUAGCAAUCUCCAUUCCGAGAAAGUACUUGAGGUUUCCAAGAUCCUUGAUCUCAAAUUCCUUUGUCAGUAAUUUUUUAAGUAAGUCAAUUUUCUCUUCAUGAUCACCUGUCAAAAUUAUGUCGUCCACAUAUACAAUGAUAAUUGCUAGUUUCCCUUCUGGGAAGUGUUUCACAAAUAAUGUGUGAUCGGAUUGACAUUGAACGAAUCCGUACCCUUUCACUACCUUAGUGAACCGUUCAAACCAGGCCCUGGGAGAUUGUUUGAGACCAUACAAGGAUUUUCGGAGUCUGCAAACCUUGUUGAAAUUUGAUGUCGUCUCAAGUCCAGCAGGAAUGUCCAUGUAAACUUCUUCCUCUAAGUCACCAUUGAGGAAGGCAUUCUUCACAUCAAGUUGGUGAAGCGACCAAUCGAGAUUAGCUGCCAAGGAUAAAAGUACAUGAACAGUAUUGAGCUUGGCAACUGGAGCAAAAGUUUCUUGAUAGUCAAUGCCAUAAGAUUGGGUGAAUCCUUUGGCAACCAACCGAGCCUUAUACCUGUCCACAUUACCAUCUGCCUUGUACUUUACUGUGAAAAUCCACUUACACCCAACUGGUUUCUUACCUCUUGGGAGGUCAGUAAUUUCCCACGUACCAUUCUUUUCCAGCGCCCGAACUUCCUCAUCGACUGCCGCCUUCCAUUUAGGAUACUUGAAAGCUUCCUGAAUAUUCUGAGGAACUUGUAUCUCUGUGAUGCUAGAAGUGAAUGCACGAAACGUAGGUGAUAGCUUAUCAUAAGAAAUAAAAUUUCCAAUGGGAUGCUGAGUGCAUGAUCUAACUCCUUUCCUCCAAGCUAUGGGCAUAUUAAGAAUAUCAUUUUCUAACUCGGAAUCAACAGUACCAUCAGGAGCGUUGUUACCUGGAAGUUUGCUUGGAUUAGGACCUGGUUCUGCCUCAUGGGUUUGUUGAGAAAGUGCUCUUUCCUCCGUUUCCUCUUGGAUGUGCUCCUUAUCCCACAAGUCAACAAUGAACUCGGGUUAAUUAAAUGACUCUGGAGGAAUGUGAUUUUCAGUGGUGAUGGGUGACUCACUGAAUGACUCAAGAUCCCAAAAUUGAUAUUCCUGAGUUGAAUUCUCCCCCUGAAUAUCGUUUUUGGGAUAGUAAGGCUGGGUUUCAAAAAAGGUGGCAUCCAUUGAAUUGUAGAAUUUUCUUGUGACCGGAGAGUAACACUUAUACCCUUUUUGAUUUGAAGAAUACCCAAGAAAGAUGCACUUGAGUGACCUAGGAUCAAGUUUACUUCUAUGUUGUUGAUUGAUAUGAACAAAGACAGAGCACCCGAAAAUUUUGGGUGGGACGGUGGAGAUGAGACGAGUAGUCGGAAAGGAUUUUAGGAGUGUUUGACAAGGUGUUUGGAAUUUUAGUACCCUAGACAUUAGUGAGGUACAUUCAUGGAUCAUCUAUGAAUGAUUUUGGAACAUUCAUAUUGAUGAGGUAGGCUGCCGUAAGGACAGCUUGCCCCCAGAAUAAUUUUGGAACAUUCAUGGAGAACAUUAGUGAUCUAGCCACCUCUAACAAAUGCCUAUUUUUCCUUUCAGCGAUUCCGUUUUGUUGUGGGGUAUCAACACAUGAACUUAAGUGAACUAUCCCUUCUUGUGCUAGAAAUUCUCCUAGAAUGGAAUUGAAAUAAUCCCUAGCAUUAUCAGACUUUAGAAUUUGUAUUUUUGACUGGAAUUAGGUCUGAAUCAUAUUUUUAAAAUUUUUGAAAAUUUGACUCGUUUCAGAUUUUUCUUUCAUGAGGAAUACCCAAGUUAAUCUAGUGUGAUCAUCUAUGAAUGAGACAAACCACCUAGUACCAGUUACAUUUUUUAUUCUUGACGGACCCCAGAUAUCGCUAUGAAUCAUUGAGAAUGGACUAGACUCUUUAUAGGGUUGAAUGGGAAAAUGAGACCGGACUUGCUUUGAUAAUUGACAGAUUUCCCACUUAAAGGAUUUUGGAUUUUUAUUAAAUAAUGAAGGAAAUAAAUNNNNNNNNNNNNNNNNNNNNNNNNNNNNNNNNNNNNNNNNNNNNNNNNNNNNNNNNNNNNNNNNNNNNNNNNNNNNNNNNNNNNNNNNNNNNNNNNNNNNGCUGGACCGUAUUUAGGCAUAAAUUAGAAGAAUAGAAUUGAGUAAAAAAAAACUGACUAAAGAUGAAGACGAUGAGACAGGAUUAAACCUGCUCUGAUACCAUGAAGAAUUUGAAGAAAAAUAUGAAGAAUUUGAAAACAAAAUAUGGAGGAACACCUCAAUUCAUUCUGUGAUACCUUCCUUUACAAUGAAUGAAAGCAUAAAUAAAUAGCCUACGGAUAUGAGACAAUUCCGGAAUGGAAUUUCCCUUACAUGGAAAGUGAAUAAACUCUUACAUGGGAAGUGAAUAAACUACUCUUACAUGGAAAGUGAAUAAACUACCUUGCUAGAAUUACUCCUAAAUAUAUAAACUACUCUUACAUGGAAAGUGAAUAAACUACCUUGCUAGAAUUACUCCUAAAUCAAUUAUAAUAAAGGCUGUACAUUACACUAAUUAGGGAAGUAAACAGAGGAUGCUGGCUAGAUUUCCAACAUUUUACCCCAAUAGCGUAAUGAUGGGGAGCUCGCCCAGAUUUAACAAGUAUGGAAUUGAGUUUGGAUUAGGGAAAGGAUUGGCAGUUCGGAGCGGUUACGCACACAAGUUCGAUGGGAAAGUGUCAUGUUACCCGGGACGUGAAGGAGGAGGAAGCAUAGAUUUGGAGGUGUGCCUACCGCCAAACUAGAUGAGUGCUCUUGAAUCCAACCAGGAGUUCAUGGAGGCUGUCUCUUUAUUACCUCAGGUACUUUAGUUUUCAUAUCUGUAAUAUGCAGAAACUAAUAUCGUAAACUUCAUUAGAGUCUCUUUUUUUCUGUUUCUUGCUUGAAUAAACACUUGUCUUUGUGCCAACGUCAUUCAUAUAUUGCAAAUUCAGACAAUAUGACCGCCGCGUCGGGCUAUAAGAUAAGAUACCGCUGUUGUACUACUUGACUGGUAAGAAAAAGCUUCCGUAAGAACUGGAAGACUCUUGUAUGUACGGUAACCCUCUCUUCCGCUACUGGUGGAUUGUUGCACAGAAAGGCCGACAGAAGCAACCUUUCUUAGCGCUCUUUUCAAGCGCUUGGCUUCUGCUAGUGGCUGGCGGCAACAUCACACCCCAAGACUCCAAGGCCAUGAGAAUCCAUUCUUUUGAACUUUAUUUGCUAGUUCUCAUCUGCAAUAGCACCAUGAGGUUUGGCAUAUCACCUGUUCAUUAUUUAUAUCAACAGUCCACAUUCAUGGGAGAAUGAUUGCUCUUUUAGCAUCGCAUCCCUCGCUCAAUUCGUUCAACAACAAACUAGUUACUUGCAUUAUUUGAAUAUUACCACGUACUUGAGUUGGUUGAUGUUUUCCAGUCCACUAUAAAUUUGAGAUGCAAAGGGAGUUUUCAAGGGAGUGAAUGUACUCUUUCCCCUACAGGUUCUCAUAAUGCAGGAAAAUUGGAUAGGAGAGUAUGAUGUCCCCACUUGAAGACAUUUCGUAUAUUUCAAAAUUUUUAUUUUAAGGCAUCUAGAUCAUACAGGUUCCCAACGAAAUAGUAUUUCCAUGGAUGAUCAUACCAUACCGUUUGAAGGAAAUGUAAUCAUUAAAACCAGGGGAAAAGUUACUUCAAUGCCCAGUGACUUCUUUGUAAGAGACCUACUGGACAUGGGCUACAAUGCAAGUGGGGGCCUAAGAAAGACAACCAGAAAAAGCCUCGAGAAGACAUGAAGUUAGCAGCUGAUAUUCAAUCAUCAGGAUGCUUUAAAAUUCGUGUCCUCUCAGAGCAAGAAGUUGUAGGCUUUAGCCACAUGUUUAAUACAGCUGAGCAAUUCACAACCAUUAUGCUCCUUUAUUUCUUUUUCUUCUUUUUUUUUUCUAGGAAAAAACAAUAGAAAGGACAGGAAAAUGCUGAAGAUAGCUUCAGAAAGGAACAGAUUUAAAGUAAUUUUCAGCAUUUUCUUUCCAUUUCCAUUCUUCUUCUAAGAUUCAAAGGUGCACUACAGUCAGAACCAGAUAACUAAAAUCUCACCUUUGCAAAAUGUAAUAUCUUGGCCAUAUUCUCCUGCAUUAUUAAAAUGUGUCUCUACAUGUUAGAAUAAAGAAACAGAUUGGAAGCAAGGAAAUCUACCAAGAUGAAGCUGCACUGCAUAGCUGGUUAAAACUUCAACGAUGGCAAAUCCCACCCUUAACUUUUAAAAUACACUUGCUAGGCGCUUUUAAUAUAUUCCUUUGCUCGCCUAUAAAAAAAACCUUCAAAAUAUAGGGGCACCUACAAAAAUUAACAAGACAAAUUUGGAGGACAUAAAUGCUAACGGGUUGUGAUUCAUAUAAGUUUGGUGGUAAAGAAAGUUGAUAGUAAAUUUAAUAACGAAAAUCUUGAACACAAGGGUGCUUGAUGAAUGAGCAGAUAUCAGAGCACCAAUUACUUAGCCGUGUUGCAAAUCACUUCAAAAAACGCUGAGGGGGAAUCUGCCAAUAAUUACAUGAUCGUGCUGACUGAUGAGGUGAACCCAAGCGUAUGACAAAAUGUUUUGCCAGAGGGCCCAAAAGAUAUCGUGGAAUCAAAUACUAUAUAGUCAGCAAUUAAGAAAAUCAUCUCCUCUCUCGAGGACAUUUUCUCCUUUUUGGCCGUGUAUAUAUAUAUGAUUUGUAUUUUUUGCGCUCUUAAUUUAAAGGUUACUUUCAUGAAAGAUAUUUAUACUAUUAAAAGACAGUAUUUGGGUACUAUUUAUUGAAAAAUGCCUCAAAUUCCUAAUCUGUAUAAAUUCUUUUUAUAAAGAAUAUCAUACAAAAUAUUUCGAAAAUUGAUAUGUAAUUAUAAUGUUAGAUUUUUUUUAUAAAAUAAGAAACGUUAUUAAAAAUAUCUUAUAAAUAUUCCAUCUCAGAAAAAAGUUAUGACUAUCAGAACAAGUUCAUCUAAUUUUUAUGAUAUGAUGGAAUGAUUAUCUUUUAUUUGUUGAUGUAGGUAUAGUUUGUUGAACUAUGUUAAAACUUCAUAUACCUUUGUAUAUUUUUUUAUCUUUACAUUUUUGAACUAACAUUGUUUGCAUUACAAUUUUUACUAAUACAACAAACUAACAUCAUAACUCAUAUUGAAGAUUUCUAGAAGAGUUAAAAGACAACAUAACACAUAAAAUGAUGACAAAAGAAAUUUUAGAAAAUUUUAGUUUAAGGUGGAGUUUUUCUUUCAUUGGGAUGUGACACUAUGUAUCAUAUAAAGAGACGAAUUAUUGAAUUAAUGAAAUUUCAUUCAAUGUGGAAAUUAUUGGAUAUUGUCUUAAAUUGCUCAUUAGUAUAGAAUCAAUUUUUAAAGAAUAAUAUAUAAAAUAUUUGUUUUUGUAAUAUUUGGAUUUUCUUAUAAAAUAAAAAAAGUUAUUAAAAAUAUUUUCAUAAAUAUUUUAGCUCUAGGAAAUGUUAUAAGAUAUAGAUGAAGACUAAUAUGUGGUGAAUAGCCAUAUAAUAAAGAAUGGGUGGGAAUCAAUAGUCAUGUCUAGUUUUUGACCUCUAAUAUUUUCUAUGAUAUAAUGAUUAAAAUUGUAAACUGUUUUAUUUUUAUAAAGCUUUCGCUAGCAUAACACUACUUCUGACCUAAAAAAUGUAGAAAAUUCUAAUUAUUUAUAUUUAAACAUAAUAAGUUAGGAUUUUAUAAACUCAAAUGGCUCUUUUAUGUAUAUCUUUUUUCAAAAUUAUAUCAAAACAUGCUUGAACAGUUUUAAGUGCUUGGAAUUAUCAAAGAUGUGAGGGAUCAAUUGUAAUGAGUUAUUUAAAUGAUAUAUUAUGAAUUCAAAAAAAAAAAAACUUUAGGAGUCAAGAUACCUAAAACUUAGCUAAAGGGGACUGGUAGAGUAUUUUAUGGAAGCAAGAUUCUCAAGCCUCAUACUCUUUUUUAAAAAAUGAAAAUAUCUUCUCUUUUAUUUCUCCUUAUAAUCUUUGGAAAAGAAAACCCCUCCAUAUUCCUCUUUAAUGUUGUGGAAAAGAAACUAAAAUAAGUAAGCAUAUGACAAUGUUUAUACUUCAAAUAUUUUUAAUAUAAAUAUUUUUUCUACUAAUAUUUUUAGGAAAAUCAUUUAUCAUUUAUUAAAUGUUUUCUUAAAAAGUGCUAACUAUAAGUUAAUUUUUCAUAGCUGGAGCAUGAGAUGGCAGCUAAAGUGACAGGCAUGCUUCUGGAGAUGGACCAGACUGAGGUUUUGCAUCUGCUCGAGUCGCCAGAGGCUUUGAAGUCCAAGGUUGCGGAGGCCAUGGACGUCCUGAGGAAUGUUGCUCAGCAGCAGGCUAACAGCCCAACCGAACAACUAGCCUCACUGUCCCUAAAUGACAGCCUUGUUCCCUGAGUGUGUUGGGUGGAACUUAAAUGUGGUUCCAGCAGUUUAAAUUAAGUUUCUCUGCUAGUGAAGGCUCUAGAUUUCAUUUGAUAUGGAGUUACAUUAGCCAUAGGAUUCUGAAGUUUGAAACAUAUUGUGUGUGUUGGUUUUUGGUGAUGAAGUUUAGGAUGCUAUACAUUCUAUGUUCUGGUGUUGACGAUCGAGUGUUCGAUUGAGUUGCUUGCAUCAUGGUUCAAAGUCGCGGUAUCGGUCAUUGACUCGGAGGGUCCCGAGGCAUAUCGGUCUCGGUGUAUCGGUUUGGUAUCGGACGAUACGUAAAAUAAGCUAAUUAGAAAAUUCAAAAAAUUAUAAAAAUAUUAUGUAAAUCAUCAGAAAAAUAUAUACAAUUAAAUAAAUUAAUAAAAUAAAAUUGUAUUAUAUUUAACAUUAUUUAAAUAGUUAUAAAAGUAUUUGCUCAAAGUUAUUUAUAAUAAUACUAAUAAAAAUAAAUAUAUCGGUCUCGAAAUCAACUUGAAGUCAACUAUAAUCAAUAUGAUCUUUAGAGGUAAGAUCUACAGACGGGGUGCAUAAAUAAAUUUUUUUUUUAUCAAUUUAGACUAAUACAUCAACAUAAUUAUUAUUUUAAGCAAUUACUUAAAUUAUUAACCUCCUUCUGAGGUAAUAUUAAUACAUUAUUUCUUUAAACAAAUUUUAAUUUAAUUUUUUUAUAUAUAAUUAAUUUUAAUUAUAUUUGAUUUUUUUUUAUAUAUAUUUUUAUAAAAAAUCAUGCAUGAAAAUUUUAUUUUUCUUAAUAUAUUUUUGAAGAAAUCAUUUUUUUUCCAUAAGCUUAAAACACCAAAUUUUUAUUUUUUUAUUUUUUUAUACAGAAAUACAUGGACCACAGGCUUUUAUGAAUUGAACUUGGGCUGGGCCUAAUCUGGUGGGCUGAACCCGUAAAAAUAUGUCAUGGUGCUGAGCCACAUAGGAUCAAAACCUAUCUUCUCCUAUCUUCCCUCCACUGAAAGCAGAGAGUGCGAUCUGCAGAGAGUGUGAUCUGUAGAGAGUGAAACCGCCAUGGCCAUCUCUCUCUUCUCCUAUCUUGCCCUCCACCGUGGACGCUCACGACGUUGGUUCUGCCGGUGGUGCCAUCAAAUCCUAUUUUCUUCACUGCACAAAGCUCUUCUCUGCUCCCAAACUCGGAAUGAAGGUUGUUUAGCCGGCGUUCAGUCACCGUUGCGGCACCAGCAGCGCACCAAAGAUGAAAAAUCUUCACUCCUGAUGUCUCUAAAAAUGUUGAUUCUUGUUGUGAUGGGUUUCAGAAUCUGUUAGAUUUUUUUUUUUUCCGAGUCGACCGAGUUAACUCGGGAUAUCGGUCGAGUCAUCCGAGUCCAACCGAUUCAAAGCCGAGUUUAGGUAUAAAUUGUAUCUGGUAUCGGACUCGUCGCGGUCGGCGUCGAGGCGGAUACGACUCGGCCGAGUCGUACCGGACUCGACCGAUAUUUUGAACCCUGGCUUGCAUAUUCCAAACCACAGAAUUCUGACGUUAAAUAGAUACUAUGUUUGAUUUUGUGAUUAAAUUUUGGACUUAGACAUUGCUAUAGUUUUGGUGUUGAUCAUGGCAUUUUCUACGGAGUUUCUUGCACUAUUUCAAGUAUCAUGUCUUUCUCUUGCUUACAUGUGCUUGACUCUAGCCUUAAUCUAAAAUAUUUCUUACCAAUUCAUACGAUGUGCCUCACCUAACUGAUUUUGUAUAUCUUCUCUUCUCAUUUGCUCUGCGUCUGCUUUCUUUAGCUGAUUUGAUACGACCGUCCUGAGUUGCACCCUCAGAAGUCAAAAGCAUGGUGGCUGAGAGAUAAUAAAUUUUGAGAGCAUUGAUGGACCAUGUGAAUUGAAGGGGACCCAAGCCUCAGGGGUCUUGCUGCAUAAGUCGAAGUGCAAUAGGAUGCUACGAAUCCUUAAAACUAGAUGUUUUCUUUUUGGUGUGUUCCUAUUUCGUUUGGUAUUGGGGAUGAUUAACUCAGGGCCCAUAUUUCACAAAUUAAAAUAGAAUUUGUUUUAAUAGUUUAUUUUAGGAAGAGCACCCUUUAAAUUAGAACAGUGUGCUCGCUUGUAUCAUGGACCUAGUUGUAUUUCUUCCUCACGGUAUUAACGACUGCACACAUUAAUCGCUCUCACGUUGAUGAUAGGCCAUGUGCCCCGUUAUCAAUCCACAAGACAAGUUCAAACAUAUUCAAUUUCCAUUUCCAUGAUCCUAAUUGGAAUAUUUCGCAGCAGGUGGCCUAAGAGGCCUAGUGUGAAAGUUGUAAAAAAAAAGGACGAAGUAUCCUAAUGGACUACAAUGAUCAGGAUAGAAAAUCCUCAUUUAGCUUUAGGCCGACGUGGCCCCCAACGGCACCACGUUUUCAAAGCAUUACAAGAAACGUACAACCUUCAAAAUCUUUCACCUAGAUUUUAAACGACGGCUACAUUUCAUCUUCAGAAACCCAAGUUUGAAUUUUCAUUCAGUUCAAUAUUCCACUAGGUUAACAUAAUCAGAAUCCUUAAAAGAAGAGCCAAUGUCGAGGUUAUUACUAAGCAAGCAGGUUCUUCGUUUAAGUCUAUUUAAUUUAUUUCCCCCAUAUGCAAGCGCCCGAGUAUAGAAAAGGCUUUGAGCAAUUACGUGUACGUUUAAUUCAGUAUUGUAACCACAAGCACCCACCCGGCAAUGGUUCAAUUCAGUUCUGUAACCACCAGCUCCCACCAACUUUCGGUGGACUCUUCAAAGGAAGCGGCGUGAAGAAAGUUGAGAAAUUUCUCACGCAAUUCGGUUUAUUUAUUUAUUUUUCUGUUGUCACGGUGCACCGUUGAAUUGAAUCAUACAGCAAUUCAUUAAGUGGGUGACGUCAUGCUUGACAUCCAUCCUCCAGUUUUGGCUCAUCCUCCAAACACCUUUUAAAAGAAUGGGUCCAUCUAUGGCCUUUGAGUUAGGGUUGAAUUGCCAGCCCUAAUUUUUGGAAAACGGGUUUAGAAUCAUAAUAGUUAUUAUUAUUACAAUCUAAUCUCACAUCAUUCUUUUCAUAUUUUGACUGGAUCUAGUCUUUUCCAGGCAACUGGGAGGACAAUCAUUUAAAGAAUUGAGAUGCUCAUCUGCAGCUUUAUAAAUCACAGCAGCCCAUUAAGAAUGGUAGGGAGAAGCUGAAGAUAAGCUAUUGGCUUCCCUGAACAGAGGAGACUCCUCGGUGGUCUAAUGGCAACUCGACUGUCGGCUCAUNNNNNNNNNNNNNNNNNNNNNNNNNNNNNNNNNNNNNNNNNNNNNNNNNNNNNNNNNNNNNNNNNNNNNNNNNNNNNNNNNNNNNNNNNNNNNNNNNNNNNNNNNNNNNNNNNNNNNNNNNNNNNNNNNNNNNNNNNNNNNNNNNNNNNNNNNNNNNNNNNNNNNNNNNNNNNNNNNNNNNNNNNNNNNNNNNNNNNNNNNNNNNNNNNNNNNNNNNNNNNNNNNNNNNNNNNNNNNNNNNNNNNNNNNNNNNNNNNNNNNNNNNNNNNNNNNNNNNNNNNNNNNNNNNNNNNNNNNNNNNNNNNNNNNNNNNNNNNNNNNNNNNNNNNNNNNNNNNNNNNNNNNNNNNNNNNNNNNNNNNNNNNNNNNNNNNNNNNNNNNNNNNNNNNNNNNNNNNNNNNNNNNNNNNNNNNNNNNNNNNNNNNNNNNNNNNNNNNNNNNNNNNNNNNNNNNNNNNNNNNNNNNNNNNNNNNNNNNNNNNNNNNNNNNNNNNNNNNNNNNNNNNNNNNNNNNNNNNNNNNNNNNNNNNNNNNNNNNNNNNNNNNNNNNNNNNNNNNNNNNNNNNNNNNNNNNNNNNNNNNNNNNNNNNNNNNNNNNNNNNNNNNNNNNNNNNNNNNNNNNNNNNNNNNNNNNNNNNNNNNNNNNNNNNNNNNNNNNNNNNNNNNNNNNNNNNNNNNNNNNNNNNNNNNNNNNNNNNNNNNNNNNNNNNNNNNNNNNNNNNNNNNNNNNNNNNNNNNNNNNNNNNNNNNNNNNNNNNNNNNNNNNNNNNNNNNNNNNNNNNNNNNNNNNNNNNNNNNNNNNNNNNNNNNNNNNNNNNNNNNNNNNNNNNNNNNNNNNNNNNNNNNNNNNNNNNNNNNNNNNNNNNNNNNNNNNNNNNNNNNNNNNNNNNNNNNNNNNNNNNNNNNNNNNNNNNNNNNNNNNNNNNNNNNNNNNNNNNNNNNNNNNNNNNNNNNNNNNNNNNNNNNNNNNNNNNNNNNNNNNNNNNNNNNNNNNNNNNNNNNNNNNNNNNNNNNNNNNNNNNNNNNNNNNNNNNNNNNNNNNNNNNNNNNNNNNNNNNNNNNNNNNNNNNNNNNNNNNNNNNNNNNNNNNNNNNNNNNNNNNNNNNNNNNNNNNNNNNNNNNNNNNNNNNNNNNNNNNNNNNNNNNNNNNNNNNNGAUGCCAGCCACUCUAAUAAUUGAGCAAUGAACUCCAGUUUCCAGCUGCAGAUUUCAGUACUCCAUAUUUAACUAGCAAGAAUAUUAUUGAUUGAUUUAAGCUUUCCCUCCUGCAAAAUUAGCAUACAACAGAUACGCGGUGAAGAGCUGUUAACAGCUUCAUCACACCCCAAGAGUCAAAGGCCAUGAGAACCCAAUUUUUUGGACUUUAUUUGCUAGUUCUCAUCAACCAUAGGCUAUAGCACCAUGAGGGACUUUAUUUGGAAUUUGGUAGUAGGAGCAAAAUUCAAACGGAGAAAAAAAAUAAUCAGAUUAUAGAAUGAAAUUGACUACUUACAUCAUCAACAUUGAGAGGCUCCUUGAGAUGUCACACCAUCUGCAGAGUGGUUUAACAAACAGAAUCCUAGCUUUCUCAUUUUGGUGGUCUGUGAAGUACCUAGCUCCCGUUAUAACAGUCCAGGUAACAUAUCACUAAACUCAUGCUUUUAUGUGGAAAAAACUAUUAAAUAAGUUAGUAGUACUUGCAUCCAAAAAUAUAAAGACCUGAGAUCAGACCUUGGGAGUUGUAACCUCAUUAAACUGCACAUGCGCCUAUGGGAAAGAAAUGUUACCAUCCAAUAAAGAAGAAUACCCUGAUUUCAUAUAUACUGGAAUAGUUAACUGGGUGAAUACCCUAACUACAUAUGUACUGGAAUAUUUAAUAGGGUGAAUACUCUAACUACAUAUGUACUGAAAUAUUUAACAAGGUGAAUACCCUAAUUUAUAUAUACACUGGAAUCUCCUGAUUAAAAACAAUGAGUAGAAAAAUAAUAGCGGAAGCAUACCUGAAUCCAUUGAAGGAGAAACCUUAUAGAAAAAAAAAAACCCUUUGAGAUGGUCUUCCAAUUCUAGCCACUAGAUUCUGUGUCAAUUUCUCUCUGAGAGGAUUUUCAGAAAUUGGAAUGCGUAGUCGUAGAAUGGGGACCAUAACCCUAUUUAUAAACUGCUAGGGCAGUUUUAACUUUAUCACAAUUAUAUUUCUGCCCCUCAUAGAAAUAAUAAUUGUCUAAUGGUAUCUACACAAUAAUCUCAUGACAAUUAUACCCUUAAGCCAAUUAAUUAAUUAUUAAUUAGAUCACUAUAUUUAGGCUUAAUUAAAUGAUAGCACACACAUUUUAAUUAUUUGCAUGUGUGGCCCAAAUUAUAGAUUAAUUACAAAAAUUAAUCUAACAAUCUCCCACUGGGCCACAUGCAUAUGUAAUCAAAUAAAUGUGCUUAACCUUAUGAGCUCAAUUUGCUAUCAUGUCCUUAGGGUAUAUCCGAACAAUCUCGUCCAUUAACUAUACUGACAUAGGAUCAAGGUGGUCUAUGUUACAUCAAUCGUUACUAGACCAAUCAAUGGUCACAUAUAUCUGCAUAGCUAAAUGACAUAGAUCAAUCAUGAGUGCAUAGCAUGGAAAUUACAUGCAAUGUGAUCUAUUCAUGCCUAUUUCCAACUGGUCCUACUUAACUUUAUUGAGAUAAAAUCUUUAGCAUAAUUUAACAGAGUGCAAUGAAAUGAAUACUUUAUUUCUGCAGAACACAAUCCAAAUGUAUAGAUAAAGUCUAAACAUAACAUAGAGCAAUAUACAAUGAAUAAUAUAAACUCCCACUAAAUUUGGAUAUCCUCAAAUGAGACAACACCCAUAUGAGCAGUGUGCUCAUGAAAGACCUUGGGUGGUAAUCCCUUUGUAAGCGGAUCCGCUAUCAUGGAGUUUGUUCCAAUAUGCUCUAUGGAUAUCUGUCCACUCUGUACUUUUUCUUUUACAACUAGGAACUUGAUAUCAAUGUAUUUUGAUUUUGUAGAGCUCCUGUUGUUAUUGGAAUAUAAAACUGCUGAUUUAUUGUCACAAAAUAUCUUCAAUGGUCUUUCAAUACCAUCCAGAACGCGCAGCCCAGUGACAAAAUUUCGUAGCCAUAUUCCUUGAUUGGAUGCCUCAUAACAUGCUACAAACUCUGCUUCCAUGGUGGAUGAAGUUACGAGUGUCUGUUUGGCAGACCUCCAUGAAAUUGCUCCACCAGCCAACAGAUAAAUAUAGCCUGAUGUGGAUCUUCUGCUGUCUUGGCAUCCAGCAAAGUCGGAGUCGGAAUACCCAAUCAACUCUAAUUGAUCCAAUCUCCUAUAUGUAAGCAUGUACUCUUUUGUUCUCUGUAAAUAUCUCAUAACCCUCUUGGCUGCUCUCCAAUGAUCCAUUCCAGGGUUACUUAGAUAUCUGCCUAACAUGCCAACAAUGUACGCAAUAUCCGGACGUGUACAUACUUGAGCAUACAUUAGACUCCCCACAGCCGAAGCGUAAGGAAUCUUUUGCAUUUCUUGACUUUCUAAAUUAUUUUUAGGGCAUUGAUUAAGACUGAAUUUGUCUCCUUUAGCGACAGGGGUAUCACCUGGUUUGCUAUUUUGCAUGCCAUACCUUUGGAGGACUUUAUCAAUAUAGGUCCUUUGUGACAAUCCUAAAAUACCCCUAGAACGAUCUCGGUGUAUCUGGAUUCCUAAGACAAAAGAGGCAUCACCAAGAUCUUUCAUCUCAAAAUGUUUUGAUAAAAAUCUCUUGGUGUCGUGCAAUAUGCCAAUAUCAUUUGUGGCUAGCAAUAUGUCAUCGACAUAUAAAACCAGGAAAAUAUACUUACUCCCACUGAAUUUGUGAUACACACAUUCAUCCAUAAGAUUUGCCUCAAAACCAUAUGAGACAAUAAUUUGAUGAAACUUGAAGUACCACUGACGAGAAGCUUGCUUGAGCCCAUAAAUGGAUUUAGUUAAUUUACAAACCAUAUUCUUUGAGUCUUCGGACACAAAAUUUUCUGGUUGUACCAUAUAAAUUGUUUCAUCAAUGUCACCAUUGAGAAACGCUGUUUUAACAUCCAUUUGAUGUAACUCAAGAUCAUAAUGUGCAACUAGUGCCAUGAUUAUCCUGAAAGAGUCCUUCGUAGAAACUGGAGAGAAGGUCUCUUUGAAGUCAAUUCCUUCUUUUUGAGUAAAGCCUUUAGCUACAAGACGUGCUUUAUAUAUUUCUACAUUACCAUUUGAAUCCCGCUUGGUUUUAAAUAUCCAUUUACAACCAAUGGGUUUCGUACCAACUGGUAAUGGGACAAGUUCCCAAACUUUAUUGUCUUGCAUAGAUUUGUACUCUUCAUUCAUGGCUUCAAUCCAUUUAUGAGAGUUGGAACUUUUCACGGCUUGCUGGAAGUUGAUUGGAUCAUCUUCCAUCAUUCCACUUUCUACCUCACGUUCCUGGAGAUAUACGAUAUAAUCGUCCGAAAUUGCAUUUCUCCUCUCUCUAGUGGAUCUCCUUAAUGGCAUAUUUUCUUGAGGUUGUUGAGUUUGUUCUUCAGAAGUAAUGUCCUCAUUUGCAAUUAAGGGUUGAACAAUAUUGUAUGUUGGUUGAGGAUCCAAAUUUACUUCUUGAUCAAUGAUAGGUAGUGAAACCUGUACAUUAUCAAUAGCAAUAGUAGAUCCCUCUUCCUCCUCAAAGACAAUAUUCCUAGCCUGAUUUCUCCCCCCAAACUCAACAUCCUAAAAAAAUGUUGCAGUUCCCGUCUCAAAAAUUGACCUAAUAGCAGGAUCAUAAAAUUUAAAACCCCUUGAUCGCUCUGCAUAGCCAAUAAAGUAGCUGCUAACUGUUUUAGAGUCCAAUUUCUUUUCAUGAGGCUUAUAAGGUCUCGCUUCAGCUGGACAUCCCCAAAUAUGAAAAUGCUUUAAACUGGGCUUUCGACCCGUCCAAAGCUCAUAAGGCGUUUUAGCAGCUGCUUUAGUUGGCACCCGAUUUAGGAUAUAAGCUGUCGUUUUGAGUGCUUCACCCCAGAGUUUUUCGGGUAAAGUAGAAUGACUAAUCAUACUCCUUACCAUGUCCUUAAGGGUUCGGUUUCGUCUUUCUGCUACACCAUUCAUGCUAGGUGAUCCUGGCAUGGUGUAUUGAGGGACGAUCCCACAUUCCUCUAGGUAUUUAGCAAAUGGUCCUGGACGUUGUUCACCUGAUCCGUCAUAUCUACCAUAGUAUUCACCACCACGGUCAGAUCUGACACUCUUUAUUCUUUUGUUGAGUUGCAACUCAACUUCUGCUUUAAAUGUUUUGAACACGUCCAAUGAUUGUGAUUUCUCAUGUAUAAGAAAUAGGUAGCCAUAUCUUGAAUAGUCGUCUAUGAAUGUUAUAAAGUACUGUUGACCAUUCCAAGAUGCCGUAGGGUAUGGUCCACAAAUAUCUGUAUGAAUUAAUUCUAAGACGUCUGUAGCUCUAUUGGCACCCAAUUUCUUUGUUUUGGUCUGUUUUCCUUUAAUACACUCAACACAAAUAUCAAAAUCUGAAAAGUCAAGUGAAUCCAAAAUCCCAUCGGACACAAGUCGCUCAACUCUGGAUUUAGAGAUAUGACCUAAGCGUUUGUGCCACAAUGAGGCCGAAUUAUCUUUAUUCAAUUUACGUUUUGUACCUCGUGAUUCCACAUGCAAGGUUUCAUUAUAGGACGGAACAGUUUCCAACAAAUAUAGAUUAUCAUAAACAUUAAGCAAACCGGUUCCUACAGCAUUUGAAUUAAUAGAUAAUGUAAAUUUAUUGUUUCCAAAUGAACAACAAUAACCUGAUUUGUCCAAAACAGAAACUGAAAUUAAAUUCCGUCUGAAAGACGGUACAAUAAAAGUAUCUAUUAAAUCCAAAAAAUAACCAGAUUUCAAUAAUAAUCUAAAGUGCCCUAUUGCCUCUACUUCUACCGACUGACCGUCUCCGACAUAGAUGCAUCUUUCAGCAUCACUUGGUUUUCGGUAACUCAGGCAACCCUGCAUAGAAACACAAAUGUGAGUAGUAGCACCAGAAUCUAACCACCAUGUGUUUCUAGAUACUGAAGCUAAAUUAACUUCAGAACAGACCAAAGUAAGAAACAUACCUUUCUUAACACGCCAAGCAGCAUACUUGGUACAUUUUUUCUUAGUAUGUCCAGGCUUAUUACAGAAAAAACAUGUUACCUCAACUUUCUGUUUCUUUUGUUCUGGACCAUUGGAAGCAGCAACCUUAUUAUCCUUAUUCUUUCGUUUGCCCUUAUCCUUCGAAGUGCUAGCCAGAUGAGCACUUUCGGUCUUGUCUUGCUUCAAUCUCUCUUCCUCUUGCACACAGAAUGAAAUGAGCUCAUUAAGAGUCCAUUUAUCCUUUUGACAGUUAUAACUGACCUUGAAUUGAUUAAAUUGUGCAGGAAGAGAGAUGAGAACCAAAUGCACGAGUAAAUCAUCAGAUAACUCGAGUUUCAAAGCCUUAAGUUUUGAAGCAAGAUGAGACAUCUCCAUGAUGUACUCCCGAACAUUACCCUUGCCUUUAUACUUCAUUGAAAUCAAGCGUGCUCGUUUCAGCCUUAUCGUUUUUGGCAAAACGCUUCUGAAUUUCCGCAAGGAAGUCACUGGCAUUAGUAACCUCAUCGGUUACCGCACCCCUGAAAGCUUCUGGAAUGCCGCGCUUCAUGAUCAUAAGACUUAGCCUAUUUGAACGUUCCCACUUACCCCAAUAAACAUCAUCCUCUUGAGUACUUUGCUCAUUGAGUUCAUCGGGUUUGGGCAUUCUCAAGGCUAAGUCUAUAUCCAUGCAGCCUAAGAGAAUCAUCAUAUUCUCUUUCCAGUCCUUAAAAUUAGUCCCAUUUAACAUAGGGACAUUAUUGAUGUUGGCAGAUAUAGAAGUGGUUGAUAUAAAAGCUGAAUCCAGAACAAAAUAAAAUGAAUCAAAUAAACCAUCAUGCUCACAUAAAAUAAGCAAUUAAACACAUAAUCUUUAAAUUUAAAAGCAAUUAUGACAUUUCAAGAUACCUAGCACAACAUUAAUAUCAAGUCUUUGGACAGUAAUAUUAACUGUAAGUGGUACUCUUGUUGUAGUGAUCAAACAUUGAUGAUAAGUUAUGUCAAAUAAUAAAUCUAUCUUUGGAUUGAUUUAUUAUUCACAUUAAGUUACCUUUAUAAUCAUCACAUAUUUAUCACCAUAGGUAUGUAUGCAAUUUGACCAAAUAUUAACUUUCCUUUGGGCCAGUUAAUACCCGCAUGAAUCACAUACACACAAAUAUCUAACACCCCGAACAGACUAAUCUACACGAAAGAUGUCACUUUGGUGAUUUUCCGCUUUAAUUAGCCUAUUUAAAAAUGCUAGAUCAAUAACUUAAAUAUUAAUAUCAUAAAAUGCUAUUAAAUAACAAUAAUAAUAAUAAUAAUAAUAAUAGUAAUAAUAAUAAUAAUAAAAAAAAUUUAUCAACUCAAUAUUUCAUAAAUCUUAAUCCAUUGACAUAUAUAUAUUAAAAUAAUAACUCAAAGAAUUAAUCAAGGAGUAGGCUCUGAUACCACUUGUUACCAUCCAAUAAAGAAGAAUACCCUGAUUUCAUAUAUUAAUCAAGGAGUAGGCUCUGAUACCACUUGUUACCAUCCAAUAAAGAAGAAUACCCUGAUUUCAUAUAUACUGGAAUAGUUAACUGGGUGAAUACCCUAACUACAUAUGUACUGGAAUAUUUAAUAGGGUGAAUACCCUAACUACAUAUGUACUGGAAUAUUUAACAGGGUGAAUACCCUAACUACAUAUGUACUGAAAUAUUUAACAAGGUGAAUACCCUAAUUUAUAUAUACACUGGAAUCUCUUGAUUAAAAACAAUGAGUAGAAAAAUAAUAGCGGAAGCAUACCUGAAUCCAUUGAAGGAGAAACCUUAUAGAAAAAAAAAAAACCCUUUGAGAUGGUCUUCCAAUUCUAGCCACUAGAUUCUGUGUCAAUUUCUCUCUGAGAGGAUUUUCAGAAAUUGGAAUGCGUAGUCGUAGAAUGGGGACCAUAACCCUAUUUAUAAGCUGCUAGGGCAGUUUUAACUUUAUUACAAUUAUAUUUCUGCCCCUCAUAGAAAUAAUAAUUGUCUAAUGGUAUCUACACAAUAAUCUCAUGACAAUUAUACCCUUAAGCCAAUUAAUCAAUUAUUAAUUAGAUCACUAUAUUUAGGCUUAAUUAAAUGAUAGCACACACAUUUUAAUUAUUUGCAUGUGUGGCCCAAAUUAUAGAUUAAUUACAAAAAUUAAUCUAACAAGAAAAAGAGGAAAAUUAAGUUGUUCUUGAUGCCAUCAAUUAACAACAGCAAAUUGAGCAGUGGAAGUCCAUUGGAAAUGGGAGACAAACUACAUUUUGUAUGAAUAACAAUAACAGAAUAAUACAAACCAGCUAAAAGUUGAGCCCCAUCGAUUCUUCAGUGGGAUGAUCAAGGGGGUAUGAAAAAGCAACCAAUGAUCAAUCCUUCAGAAGUUCAAAAAGAUUAGGGACAGAGCAGAGUAGAAACGAAGUCAAACAGGCCUUACUAAAUCCUAGUGCAGGAAAGCUAAGCAUUCCCCUUGAAUGGUCCUAAAAUUUACAUGUCAUGCAAAAGUGAGGAGCACAGAUAACUUUCUAAAUUUAAAUCUAACAAGAAACUGAAUAUCAGCCCGCUAGCAUGGACAAAAAGUCAAUAAUCUCAGACUAAAAGAGGAGAAAAUAAUUUUUCAGGACAGUAGUUAUUUCAAGAGGCUGAGAAGUUUCCCCGAAACCUCUUUGUAUGCCCACGCACUGAUAGCUAUCCAAUUUUGUCCUAUUUAUUGCAUAUAAACUGCAUCCCCUUGACGGCUGAAAUGUCGAAACUGCAAGAAAUCAUUAAGGAAAUAAAAUAAAUACAAUAAAGGGAAAAGCUACUUCAAUGUUGAAGAAUUUCUGUGUGAGAAACCUACAGGACAUUAGCGAUAAUUACAAUGCAAUUUGGCAUUGUUAUAUGAGGGCCCAAGAAAGACAACCAGAAAAAGCCUCAUGAUGUUUAGCAGCUGAUAUUCAACCAUGAAGAUCCUUUCAAAGGCCCAAGAAAGGCAACCAGAAAAACCUUCAUGAUGUUAGCAGCUGAUAUUCAAUCAUGAAGAUCCUUUCAAAUCUGUGUACCCCUCAGAGCUUAGCUUCAGCCAUUUGUUCCAUGAGGGCCUUUUUGAGGAAAGGGAUCGCUCUUAAAACAUUGAAUGAAGUAUGGCCACAAGUUAGAGCCUAACUUAGAUUCUUCAAAGCAAUCUCAUAUACAUUCCAAAGCUUUUACUAAGCUUUCCUCGUUUAAAUGGUAUCACAGCCACUCCCCAGUGGAACUGUUAGCAGGCUUAAACCCUUUUCCCUCUAUAACUCCUUCCCAACUAAAGCAUUUCCAGAUUCACAUUCUUAUUAAUUUCCACAAUUAUUAACUGUCUCCAUUGAUCUUCAAGAACAUGUAGCAAUCAACUGAGUAAUUCGCAACCCUUAGAGCAUCAUAUACAUUACGAGCCUAAAUCCUGACAACUGAACCUUUCAGAAAAAUUGGUAGUUUAGCAUUGUAUUAGAACAAAGAUUAACUUGAGGUCUCAGGUUAAAGUCCUUUAAAUUUAUGAUUUGUCUAUAGCUACUGCUGCUUGUGACAUCCAUGUGCCAAUAUAGGGCCACACCUUUCAACACACCUGGGGUUAUCUGCAACUACCACUAUCUGUGCCACCCGCAUCUGGGUGUGUGGGGCCACACCCAGUGCGUGGGGGACUUAUCUACAACUACUUGUCACAAGAUGCUUCAAAUGACCCUCCUCAUGGGCUUAUAUAGGAGGUGAGAAGCUUCUAGAGACCCUUGGAGACAUCUACAUACAAAGUGGAAGAGUAUAGAAACUUCUAGAGCAGGCUAAAAAUGUCCACACAUCUCUACACUUGGCUAGGAGAGCAUUGGAAUAGUGUGGGGUGUUAUAGAAUCUUCCAAAGUCAUCUUGUACAUAUCCUUGUACAUAGAUUACUGUAGGAGCUUCUAGUUUAUUCUUGAUUUGUAAGGAACCUUUUAAGAUUCUAGAAACUUCCUAAAGUGUCUAUAAAUAAGUUAAGGCCUCAUUUGGUCAAGGCACCACCCAAACCACUUCCUAAUCAAGCAAGUGAGUUUCAAAGCACUUGUAAAGUUUCCUUUGAGCAAUAAAAACUUCAAUUCUUCAAGAGUUGCCUACUAAACCUUUUAAAGCUUUCAAGUCAUAAGCAUCUUAGCCUAACAAGUUAAGCAUCAGGAGUAAAGUUGACUUAAUAAGAUCAAGUGUCUUGACUAAGUGCCGCACAAGCUUAGGAAAAGACUAAGUUCGUGACAUACUGCUGCAUAUGCCACCCACAUGGAGGGGGUGUCCUCCAUUUCCAUUGUUCUUCAAGGGUGCAUAAUAGUCCAAUCAAAUAUAUAGAGCCAUAUUUUCUAACGGCUUACAUAUAACCAAAUAUUUACACUAACAUUUCUUAAACUUCAAUGAGGAACACCAAAAUCUUACUGUUGAAAAAUAUGACUCAAACGCCUUUGCCAUAUUAUCCCGCAUAAUUCAAAUGUAUAUCCACAUGUUAGAAUAAAGCAUUGAAAACUUAGCAAGAUAAAAUUGCACUUCUUAACUGGGUAACAAUUCUAGAAAGGAACAUCACAACCUUAACUUUAAACCGCUGCAGCAGCAACGAGAAAAUUCUUCACUUUAAUAACCAAAUUCUUAAACACAAAAAUUGUAACAAGGGUACUUGAUGAAUGAGCACAUCUCAGAGCAUCAAUUGCUUAACCGUGCUGCAAUCCCAUCAAAGAAGCGAAUGAUCCAAUGGCUGAUUGAUGCUAUGAACCAGGUGUAUGAUAAAAUGCUUGAAAGACUCUCAAAUGAAGGUCCACAAGAAACCAUACAAUGAAAGAACUAUCCAGUGAGCAAGCAAGAAAAUCACGUCCUCUCUCGAUUAAAUUUCUCAUUUGGCCGAAUUUACAAAGAUUUAAAGAUGAAAACAAAGGAUAGUCAUCUAAAUACGAUCUUCAGUGCUUGGAAUUAUCAAAAUUACAAAACAUGAAACAAAAUAAUCAUGAGUGUACCGAGGGACCAAGAAAUUCUCUAGGGCUACAACGUAACUGAAUUAAACCCAAUACGGCCUAAUUUUGGACGGGUUUGAGCAACACACCGCCUCAAACGGCGGAAAAAAAGUGUUAUUUGGGCCGGCCUCCACCCUCGGGUUGAGGCCUCAAGCAACCUGGACGGCUGGACCUGAUAUUUUGUUUUCUAUAAAAUUGAAAAUUAAUUAUUAUAACAUAUACUUAUGUUAUAAAAUUCAGUAAUGUAUCAUCCUUAUUUAAUUUUUUUAUUUUUUUAUUUUUCUGUUGUCAUGAUGCACCGUUGAAUUGAAUCAUGGACACCGCUGGACAAGCAUAUGACGACUGUAAUAAUUUUACCUCGAGAUUUUUUUUGACAAGUGGCUUUCGAGGUAGGGGCAACUACCAAGCGAAUUUAGAAUGCGGAUACAAGUUGGCCUUUCAAUAUUGAAUUAUGCAGAUGAUGGGUGAUGCUUCCGGGGUCACGUUGGUAAAAAAAACACAAGAAAUGAGCAACCCUACGAUACUUCCUUUACCGCAAAACAAUUAAGCUUAUGUUGCGACUUGUGACUUCUUAGCAGUCAAAACACUGUUCAUAUUUUGACUACAACCGCGGAAAAGGUCAAAAUGAUAUUUCAAGGACAAUAAUUAAAAGAAUUGACCUGCCCCUCAGUCCCUCCUUCCGCUUGUCUGGACUCUGGAGGUCCAUAACACAAGCACGCUGUUUACCACAUGAACAUGAAAUCAGUUGCUGCUUGGCCAUCAAUAACAGAACAAGAUUGGACCCGCCCUUGCCGGUGAACUACUUCGGGAACUCCAUUCAUACAGCCAAUGCCCAUUUCAACUUUGGCUUCAGCUCUUGCAAAUGCAACACCUGAUCAGCAAAGAACAGUAUGCCCAUUACCCUAAUUAUUGAUGAUACCUUAGUUUGCAUUGUAUUAGUAGCCUUUUACGUAAUUUUCUUUUUCUUCUGCUCUCAUUAUUGUCGAUACCUUAGUUUGCAUUGUAUUAGGAGCCUAAUUUCUUUUCUUUUAUUUUAUUUUUUAUGGUGCUCAUGUUGUUUCCGUUUUUAUUUUUAUGGUGGCUAGAUGCUGAGCGAAAGUUUGUACCCUCUCGUGGAUCAGCUGGAGCAUGAGAUGGCAGCCAAACUGACAGGCAUGCUUCUGGAGAUGGGACAGACUGAGUUUUUGCAUCUGCUCGAGUCGCCAGAGGCUUUGAAGUCCAAGGUUGCGGAGGCCAUGGACGUCCUGAGGAAUGUUGCUCAGCAGCAGGCUAACAGCCCAACCGAACAACUAUCCUCACUGUCCCUGAAUGAUAGCCUUGUUCCCUGAGUGUGUUGGGUGGGACUUGAAUGUGGUUCCAGCAGUUUAAAUUAAGUUUCUCUGCUAGUGAAGGCUCUAGAUUUCAUUUGAUAUGGAGUUACAUUAGCCAUAGGAUUCUGAAGUUUGAAACAUAUUGUGUGUGUUGGUUUUUGGUGAUAAAGUUUAGGAUGCUAUAUACAUGUUUUGAUGUUGACAAUAGAGUGUUCUAUUGAGCAAUUUAUUAUGUGGGUAAUGUCAUGCAUGAUAUCCAUCCUCCAAAUACCUUUUAAAAGAAUGGGUCCAUCUAUGGCUGCCAGUCUUUCUUGCAGGGCAACCUUUAAGAAAGGAGAGCCAUAAUUUUUGCAAAACCGAUUCAGAAUAAUAAUAUGGUUAAGUUGUCUUUUCAACAUUUUGAUAUUAUUGUUAUGCAGGUUAUGCUUCUACAUCUAGUUUAAUUCAAUAAAAGGACACCGUGAAAGGGGUAAAACAAAACAAGAAAAAGAGCAUGUCUACAACACAUCCUUACUGCAAGUCUGCAAAGCAAUUAGGGCUGUGUUCUGAGCAGUCAAAACACUGGUUUAUACCUACAGGUUAUUAUUAUUACAACUUAAAUUCACAGCAUUGUUUCAUAUUUUGAUUGGAUCUAGUCUUUAUCAGCAACUGCGGGGAAAAGGGUAAAAUUACAUUACAAGGACAGUCGUUAAAAUAAUUGUCCUGCUCAUAUGCAGCUACAUCAACCAGAGCCACCCAUUAAGAAUGGAAGGGAGAAGCUGAAGAUAAGCUAUUGGCUUCCCUGAACAGAGGAACUCCUCGGUGGUCUAAUGGCAACUCCGACUGUUCGGCUCAUCUCAGAAUGCUUUAUCAAACCAAAGUUCACUUCAGAAGAGACCAACGAGCCCUGUUACCUGACACCAUGGGACCUUGCCAUGCUCUCCGUCAAUUAUAUCCAAAAGGGCCUUCUCUUUAGCAAACCACCUGAUGUGGAUGAUCCACAAAACUUCAUGGCAACUCUCUUGGACAAGCUCAAGGAUUCUCUCGCUCUCACACUCGACCAUUUCUACCCACUUGCAGGCCGCCUUGCAACAAAGAAGGAGGACAGUUCACCCUCUUACGUGGUCUUUGUAGAUUGUAACAACAGUCCCGGAUUGAAAUUCAUCCACGCAGCUGCAGACAUGACAAUAUCUGACAUCCUUUCACCAAUUUAUGUACCCCAAGUUAUCCAAUCAUUCUUUGAUCAUGAUAGGGUGAUUAACCACGAUGGUCGCACCUUGUCUUUGCUAUCAAUUCAAAUCACAGAGCUUGUGGACGGCAUCUUCAUUGGAUGUUCCAUAAAUCACAGCAUGGUUGAUGGAACCUCUUUCUGGCAUUUCUUCAAUGCAUGGUCUGAGGUAUUCACUGCACAGGGGAAGAAUAGUUCCAUAACACUGUCACGCCCACCCAUCCUCAAGCGCUGGUUUCCUGAUGGCUAUGGUCCAAUUAUCAACCUUCCUUUCACUCACCAUGAUGAGUUCAUCAGCAGAUUUGAAGCACCCGUACUCAGAGAGAGAAUUUUCCACUUCUCAUCAGAAUCAAUAGCAAAGCUCAAAGCAAAGGCAAAUGCACAGUGCAACAGCAACAAAAUCUCCUCUUUCCAGGCAUUGUCCGCACUUGUCUGGAGGUCCAUAACACGAGCGCGCUGUUUCCCACAUGAGCAGGUAACCAGUUGCAGGCUGGCCACCGGUAACAGAACAAGAUUGGACCCGCCCUUGCCGGAGAACUACUUUGGGAACUCAAUUCAAACGGUGAGAGGCAUUGCCACUGCUGGUGAACUGCUUGAACAUGAUCUUGGGUGGGCAGCCUGGCUCUUGCACCAGGCUGUGGUCGGUCACACUG
rnacentral:lncRNA from 1 species